rnacentral:rRNA from 1 species
UGGGGAAUUUUGCGCAAUGGGCGAAAGCCUGACGCAGCAACGCCGCGUGGGUGAUGAAGGUCUUCGGAUCGUAAAGCUCUGUCCUCAAGGAAGAUAAUGACGGUACUUGAGGAGGAAGCCCCGGCUAACUACGUGCCAGCAGCCGCGGUAAUAUGUAGGGGGCUAGCGUUAUCCGGAAUUACUGGGCGUAAAGGGUGCGUAGGUGGUUUCUUAAGUCAGAGGUGAAAGGCUACGGCUCAACCGUAGUAAGCCUUUGAAACUGGGAAACUUGAGUGCAGGAGAGGAGAGUGGAAUUCCUAGUGUAGCGGUGAAAUGCGUAGAUAUUAGGAGGAACACCAGUUGCGAAGGCGGCUCUCUGGACUGUAACUGACACUGAGGCACGAAAGCGUGGGGAGCAAACA